rnacentral:misc_RNA from 1 species
UCGUACAAAAUGUGUGAGGCAUGCUAGGGCUGUCGCUGACAAAAGUCGUGCACGCCAGAGUGUCCUCUCACAUUAAAUCCAUCUCACCCUUUUGUGCACCACCGCGUGGGCACCCUUCGGGAUCGAACUGGUCCAGGAGGGGGCUUGCGUUUUCACACAAACCCUCAUUUAAAAGUGUAGAAUGACCCCAUUUUUGCGAUAACACGCAAUCAAUA